rnacentral:rRNA from 1 species
CGCAGCCGCGGUAAUUCCGGCUCCAAUAGCGUAUAUUAAAGUUGUUGCAGUUAAAAAGCUCGUAAGUUGAAUUUCGGGAUCAAUUUAUCGGUCGUGCCAAUGGUAUGAACCGGUACAAUUGGUUUCUCCCUUCUGACGAAGCAUGAUGUCAUUAAUUUGGUGUCGUGGGGAAUCAGGACUGUUACUUUGAAAAAUUAGAGUGUUUAAAGCAAGCAUUAGCUUGAAUACAUUAGCAUGGAAUAAUGAAAUAGGACGUUUGAUCCUAUUUCGUUGGUUUCUAGGAUCGACGUAAUGAUUAAUAGGGAUAGUUGGGGGCAUUAGUAUUCAAUUGUCAGAGGUGAAAUUCUUGGAUUUA